CCUACGGGAGGCAGCAGUAGGGAAUCUUUCACAAUGGGCGAAAGCCUGAUGGAGCAACGCCGCGUGCAGGAUGAAGGCCUUAGGGUUGUAAACUGCUUUUAUAAGCGAGAAAUAAGAUGGUAACUUAUGAAUAAGGAUCGGCUAACUACGUGCCAGCAGCCGCGGUACUACGUAGGAUGCGAGCAUUAUCCGGAGUGACUGGGGGUAAAGAGUUGCGUAGGGGGCAUAAUAAGUAGCUAGUGAAAUCUGGUGGCUCAACCAUUCAGACUAUUAGCUAAACUGUUAAGCUCGAGACCGUUAGGGGUAACUGGAAUUUCUAGUGUAGGAGUGAAAUCUGUAGAUAUUAGAAGGAACACCAAUAGCGUAGGCAGGUUGCUGGGACGGUUCUGACACUAAGGCACGAAAGCGUAGGGAGCAAACGGGAUUAGAUACCCGAGUAGUC
rnacentral:rRNA from 1 species